CCCUUAGACGUUCUGGGCCGCACGCGCGCUACACUGACCAGUGCAACAAGCAUCCGUCCUUGGCCGACAGGCCCGGGCAAUCUUUGAACGCUGGUCGUGAUGGGGAUAGACUUUUGCAAUUUUUGGUCUUCCACGAGGAAUUCCUAGUAAACGCAAGUCAUCAACUUGCAUUGAUUACGUCCCUGCCCUUUGUACACACCGCCCGUCGCACCUACCGAUUGAAUGGUCCGGUGAAGCCUCCGGAUUGGCGCGCACCUCGGUGCCGCCGAGAAGUUGGCUAAACCUUACCAUUUAGAGGAAGGUGAAGUCGUAACA
rnacentral:rRNA from 1 species